ensembl:snRNA U6 U6 spliceosomal RNA
GUGCUCACUUUGGCAACACACAUACUAAAAUUGGAGUGAUCCAGAGAUUAGUAUGGCCCCUGUGCAAGGAUAAUGUGGAAGUUCGUGAAGCAUUUCAUAUUUUU